rnacentral:rRNA from 1 species
UACGGAGGGUGCGAGCGUUGUCCGGAAUCACUGGGCGUAAAGGGUGCGCAGGCGGUUGGGUGUGUCAGAUGUGAAAUCCCGAGGCUUAACCUCGGAACUGCGUCUGAAACUACUCGACUAGAGUACUGGAGAGGGAAACGGAAUUCACGGUGUAGCAGUGAAAUGCGUAGAUAUCGUGAGGAACACCAGAGGCGAAGGCGGUUUCCUGGACAGUUACUGACGCUCAGGCACGAAAGCAUGGGGAGCAAAAGGG